AUUAACGACAAGUGACGUCAUGAAAGUCAGCCGAAUAUGUGCCAAAAAAUAAUACACCCAAAAUCAAAAAUGGAAAGGCCAAUUGAGAGGCUUCCUUACAACCAGAUAUCACUCGGAGUAUCGGGUUUUGCCUGGGGGUUAAUUUCAAGAGCAAGUGUUGACCUUCCCGGGAGUCGAUCAUGUAGUGCAGUGUAAUUAUAGCCAGUAACGCAUUCACAUUCCCAUUGGCUGCUGUUGCUGCACAGUAGGCGAAUGUCGGGCCAGAAGAGCCCAUCAGUUCGUACCAUCAGUGCACCAUAUGGACACUCCUCCAGACAAAUUAGCCUGCGGUUAGCUGUGGAUGCAUUCAAAGAUCGCAUGAUCGUACAGCCGUUUUUCAUGGCUUCGUUUGGCAGUUGACACGUUAAGAGCACGCACGUUUGCCGGCCAUUUAAGUGGCCCCAGCAUCGGAGCAUCUCGCAUCUCGCAGCUCGCAUCUUGGCCAUUGCCACUGGCCAGAAGAUGGAGGAGCCGAUAAAGCGGA